rnacentral:rRNA from 1 species
GGCGAGCGGGUGAGUAACACGUGGGUGAUCUGCCCUGCACUUCGGGAUAAGCUUGGGAAACUGGGUCUAAUACCGGAUAGGAGCCAUCCUUAGUGUGGUGGUUGGAAAGUUUUUCGGUGUAGGAUGAGCUCGCGGCCUAUCAGCUUGUUGGUGGGGUAAUGGCCUACCAAGGCGGCGACGGGUAGCCGGCCUGAGAGGGUGUACGGCCACAUUGGGACUGAGAUACGGCCCAG